rnacentral:rRNA from 1 species
AUUGAACGCUGGCGGCAGGCCUAACACAUGCAAGUCGAACGAGUGGCGGACGGGUGAGUAAUGUCUGGGAAACUGCCUGAUGGAGGGGGAUAACUACUGGAAACGGUAGCUAAUACCGCAUACCAUGAGAUGUGCCCAGCUGGGAUUAGCUUCUUGGUGGGGUAACGGAUCACCAAGGCGCCGCUCCCUAGCGGGGCUGAGAGGAUGACCAGCCACACUGGAACGGAGACACGGGCCAGACGCCUACGGGAGGCAGCAGUGGGGAAUAGUGCACAAUGGGCGCAAGCCUGAUGCAGCCAUGCCGCGUGUAUGAAGAAGGCCUUCGGGUUGUAAAGUACUUUCAGCGGGGAGGCGUUACCCGCAGAAGAAGCACCGGCUAACUACGUGCCAGCCGCCGCGGUAAUAC